UAAGUAAUCUUUGUGUCCUGUUUACUUGAUUUCUAAACUUAGUUUAGUUAAUUGUGCAAGACAACAGGACAUCCUGCUUUUUCCGGGAAGCUGCCUACAUUCUGGGCUGUUAAGACAAACAUCCAGGUGUCAGGGGAGCUUACAACUAGCUGUGGACCAGACCCUUCUUUUCAGUUUGCUCUUUCCCUGGCUAACCAGCUCUUUGGAGAAACCACAGCCAAAUCGCUUGAAGAGCUUCUGGUUUUUGUCCUUAAUUCACUUGUAGGAUCAUUCUUUUCUUUAUCCAUCUUGAUAUGUAACAGUCUUCUUUUCUAAUCAUUUAUCUAGCUUCUACGCGAUGGUUACCAGAAUCCUAAGACGGAAGAGUUUAAUAGCAUUGACUGGUCUCUAAACCACACACCUCGUAUUCUGUGAAAAUGGUUUUAAUGAUGUAACUAAAUUCAGGUUCUUAUCACGGUUUACUCAAGGAGAAGAGAACAGCUGAGUACCUCUCAGACACAGAAGGGCCUGCGAAUGACCAAAUGAUCCAAGGAGCAGAAGUUGUUAUAGAUGGAAACGUGAUUACAAGUUUGGGGCUGGCAACUGUUACUAAUUUCUCUCUAGCUAUUGUUAGCAAGCUGUUUGGACAUGGUAGAGCGAUAAGUGUUUCAGAAGGACUUGUCCAUGAGUAUAGAGGGAAUUUGAAGGCAUCUUGAUCAAGAUACACAGUUAGAAGAUGUCUCCACUGCUUCUACAAGAAAAU